rnacentral:rRNA from 1 species
ACCAAACCACCAGAGCUUCUCCAAGAGCAAAGGACUUCCAGGAGACCCCCCCACCCCAGCACACCAGACACAAGAAAGCCAGCGUUAGUUCGAGUAGAGCAUCACAUCUCACCUGAAGAUGUCUUCUGGGUCGUCGUCUCGGAGCAACUCGCCGAGCUCGGACUCGGAGUGGAGCAAGAAGGAGAACAAGAUGUUCGAGGAGGCGCUGGCCUACUACGGUGUGGGCGCCCCCAACCUCUGCGAGAAGGUGGCCAGCGCCAUGGGGGGCACCAAGUCCACUGAGGAGGUGCGCCGCCACUUCCAGUUCCUCGUCGACGACGUCAACAACAUCGAGCACGGUCGCAUCCCCUUCCCUAAGUACAAGACCCAAGGAUUCUGGACCUAGUAAAAGGACCAAGCAGUGUAAGAGCUCCAGUGGACAGUGAACAAAGUUGUACAAACUAGAUCUCUAAGAAGCAAGGAUGGACUGUUGUUCUAGGGGGAAGCAAGGCAAUCCAGCAUUGGUUAGAAUAACAGGAAGGGAAGUGAUAUUGUCGAUUGUGUGUACAAAAUAUAGUUACGUUAUGUCCAAGGUUAAGUCUGUCCCUAUGUUGUUGUAGAUUCUCGUCUACAUUCAUGAACUGUGUGUUGUUCAUUAUCCCCUCGAACUAAGUCGUCAAGUAAACUGUC